rnacentral:rRNA from 1 species
UACGGGGGGGGUAAGCGUUGUUCGGAAUUACUGGGCGUAGAGGGCGCGUAGGCGGCCUACUAAGUCGAACGUGAAAUCCCUGGGCUCAACCCAGGAACUGCGUCCGAUACUGGAAGGCUUGAAUCCGGGAGAGGGAUGCGGAAUUCCAGGUGUAGCGGUGAAAUGCGUAGAUAUCUGGAGGAACACCGGUGGCGAAAGCGGCAUCCUGGACCGGUAUUGACGCUGAGGCGCGAAAGCCAGGGGAGCAAACGGG